rnacentral:lncRNA from 1 species
CUAUGAAGACCUGGAAAAUAUUCUGAAAAACAUAGGGUUAAGACUGCAACUGAAGGAAAACUUGGUGUUGAUGAAAAGUUUGCCACUUGAUGCUGCUGGAAAGUUGUAUAAAUGUAAGUUGCUGAAUGGAACAAGGUCUCUCAAAGGAGUGAAGCUUAGUGUUGAUAAGCUAGAACCCUUCAUAGAACAUACGGGCUUUGAGCUUGAGGAAGAGGAAUACCAAGAUCUGAAAAAC